AAGAAUUUGGUUGACUCGGUCAUGUUGGAUUUCGGUAUCCGCAGCCCACGUGUGGAGUAUAAUGGAAGCCAGGGCUGCUUUUUUGCCGAAACUCUUACCCAUAUACAAGGUUUUGCAGCGCCUGAUCGAGGGGCGCCGUUUGCGUACCGCUGCGCGCGUUCCCGACAAGCAGGUAGUUGUUACAUCAGGGCCCCUGGGACACAACCGACAAGCAUCAGUAUUAGUAACCGACUCUCGGCAUUGCGUUCAGUUGUUGGGAGCUGGAUUAGCCUUGAGUUUCAGCCUGGGAAGUACGGCAGAUCCUAAGGUUUGGCGCGCGGCGGAAAUGGUGCGCAAGUUCUCGUGCGCGCAUGCACGCUUUUGAUGCAAGCGCUUUGGGAUUACGACCGAGAGUGAUGGCGCUGCAGUUACAGCUAGUUGCAAUUUACUGCAGUUUACGGCACAACAAAUUCACAUAUCAGCUGCGCCAUCGUCUUCUACUCCUUCUAACCCCUUCCGCUGUCUCUACGGCCCCACCCACCCACCCUUUCCCUAAAACCACUGCAAAGAUGACCGCCAGCAACCCAAAUCCCAGUGGAACCAAUGACUGGAGCAAGAACCGUUCGGAUCAUAGGUGACACCUCCGCUUAAGCGACGUUUAAGAACUAUCGAACCUUCAGACCGCGGCUGAAGUUCCACUCCAAUACUGCAGGUUGGCAACCAUACAGCCUAGGGCAACCCCAGGCGAUGCGCCAGACUUCAAUCGGUCGGGACCAUAUCAGUUCCUAGCUCGUCAACAGCAAGCAACUAACUAACGAAACAAAUCAAUAGGAGACCUCCAGGAGACGUGUUGCACAUGGGGGGGGUAAUGAUGGCAUAGUGUACCGACAGACACGAUAGAAUAAAAGCAGUUCAGCAGGUGGGAGCCAGUCGCUAGCAGACAACAACAACAGCAGCAGCAGCAGACGGAGUUGAGGUGGAAUGGCGGAAUGGAGGGAUGAGGCACAGAGGAUUGCAAUUUGCGACAUGUAGCUUUACUUCGCUGCUCGUCUGGCCGCGUUUUCUAUGCGCCAUCGAACGGGGCUCUGCUGCUGCUGCUGCUACUACCACAUCCAUGGCAUACAUCCCUCCUUCCAUACAUACAUCCGAGAGUCCGGGUUCAAAUCCGCCUGCCGACUCCUCGGGUGUUUGAGGAGUGUUGAAAUGGGAGGUGGUCCCCCAUCUUAUGGAAGGUGUAGGACGUGAUAACAUCUACUUGCGAGCUGACCAGGAACUAAAGUUGAGGCGCCGUUGAUCCGCUAGAUUUGGUUGGAUGCUGAUGGUGAGUUGAUGAACCCAACGAAUACAUUCUGAAGUCGGAUGGGGUGAACAGAUUAGGUUGCCCCUCUAGCACAGGGGAGAGCAGGGAACUGCCUCGGGAAAGGGGGCCGCUGGUGAAGCUUAACCAACCUGUAACAACAUACAUCCCUCUCUCCCUCCAUCCCUCACACCCUCGCACCCUCCAUCCCUCCCACCCUCCAUCCCUCCCACCCUCCAUCCCUCCCACCCUCCAUCCCUCCCACCCUCCCUCCCUCCCUCCCUCCCUCCCACCCUCCAUCCCUCCCACCGUCCAUCCCUUCCACCGUCC
rnacentral:lncRNA from 1 species